CCUACGGGGGGCAGCAGUGGGGAAUAUUGCUCAAUGGGGGAAACCCUGAUGCAGCGACGCCGCGUGAGCGAUGAAGUAUUUCGGUAUGUAAAGCUCUAUUAGCAGGGAAGAAAAUGACGGUAUCUGACGAAGAAGCCCCGGCUAACUACGUGCCAGCAGCCGCGGUAAUACGUAGGGGGCAAGCGUUACACGGAUUUACUGGGUGUAAAGGGAGCGUAGACGGGACAGCAAGCCAGAUGUGAAAUCCUAGGGCUUAACCCCGGGACUGCAUUUGAAACUGUAAUUCUAGAGUAUGGGAGAGGCAGGUGGAAUUCCUGGUGUAGCGGUGAAAUGCGUAGAGAUCAAGAGGAACACCAAUUGCGAAGGCGGCCUGCUGGACGAUGACUGACGUUGAGGCGCGAAAGCGUGGGGAGCAAACAGGAUUAGAUACCCGUGUAGUC
rnacentral:rRNA from 1 species